UACGUAGGGUGCAAGCGUUGUCCGGAAUUAUUGGGGCGUAAAGAGCUCGUAGGCGGUUUGUCGCGUCUGCUGUGAAAACCCGAGGCUCAACCUCGGGCCUGCAGUGGGUACGGGCAGACUAGAGUGCGGUAGGGGAGAUUGGAAUUCCUGGUGUAGCGGUGGAAUGCGCAGAUAUCAGGAGGAACACCCAAUGGCGAAGCAG
rnacentral:rRNA from 1 species